AAGACAUUGAGCGGAAUAUUAUCCUCAAGCCGGUAACUGGAGCUUUGCAUUGUUCUUCCAGCUAAUGUAAUAGUAGUAGAAGAAAUCGCCAUAGAGUAACGUCUGCACGAGUCCUGAUAUACAAGCUAUCCAGUGAAAAUAGCGUGGCUCUGUGAAGUAGCGAUAAACCCAAUUGAGGAUGUAAAAUCCACGGUACGCCCCUAGGAGAAAAACAUAUUGCACGGUCAAAUUGUCAAUAUUUCUUGUUCUCUGCAACAUCACAAGUUGAGGAAGUAUGGCAACAGCCUCCAAAAACAAGGAGAAAGACCACAUCACCUCCAUCACAGUGAAUCCCUCAUUGAUUACCA
rnacentral:misc_RNA from 1 species